AACGAACGCUGGCGGCAUGCCUAACACAUGCAAGUCGAGCGGAUGAGUGGAGCUUGCUCCAUGAUUCAGCGGCGGACGGGUGAGUAAUGCCUAGGAAUCUGCCUGGUAGUGGGGGACAACGUUUCGAAAGGAACGCUAAUACCGCAUACGUCCUACGGGAGAAAGCAGGGGACCUUCGGGCCCUGCGCUAUCAGAUGAGCCUAGGUCGGAUUAGCUAGUAGGUGAGGUAAUGGCUCACCUAGGCGACGAUCCGUAACUGGUCUGAGAGGAUGAUCAGUCACACUGGAACUGAGACACGGUCCAGACUCCUACGGGAGGCAGCAGUGGGGAAUAUUGGACAAUGGGCGCAAGCCUGAUCCAGCAAUGCCGCGUGAGUGAAGAAGGCC
rnacentral:rRNA from 1 species